rnacentral:lncRNA from 1 species
UCUGAAAGCAGCAGCUUCUUGUCCAGCUCCUUUCCCUUUCCUGUUAACAGGGUCUCUGCCUGGGUUCGAAAGUAAGGUGACAGAAGCCGAAAUCUGCCAUUAAGGUCUUUGCAGAAGCAGGUAAGCUUGAUCUUCGGAGCUAGCCGCGGAGGUAGUUUUCCAUCACCCACCACCAUGUUGAUAGCAGCGACCAGAUCUUCCUUCGAGUCCAACUUUCCAACGAAUUCCGUCCAGAGCUUAUCCUCGUACUUGGCGUUUCAGCCACUGCUGCCUGUCGCCACCACAUUCUUUGUAGAAGCGUAACAAGCGCGGUAUUCCCCCCGUCAGAUUAUCCAGAUCCAGCAGCGCAGAAGCUGGUAGAUUUGCCUGCGCAAUCCAUGUAUUCAGCUCCUCUUCCGUGUAGGGACCGUCAAACUCUUCAGUUAGCAUAUAGUCUUCAGCCUUGUCAAGUUUUGCACUUUCAUAUGGCUCGGGGCUGUCUAUGGACAAGACUGUGAUGCGAACACUGACUCCAGAGGCACGAACCAGGUGAGCUUUCAGGCGAUGAAGCAGCUGUGGCUCCACCUUAUCAUUCGUCCUUGGAUCAAGCUGUUCCCAGUCAUCGAUGAUGAAAAGCAAACCUGUCCUGCCCUCGCACCACGCCACCAGGUCUUCUACACUGAGCAAAUUCUGCAACUCCUCCCACACGGUCUUGCACUGGCCAAAUGCAAGCAGCAAGGCCUCGAGCAGAACCUUGUCCGGCUCUGAGAUGUAACGGGUUGCCGAGAUAUACACCACCUUUUUGCCGUUGGCGAGGAGGAAGCCGGCUUCGGUGCUCAUGACAGUACUCUUGCCACUGCCUUUACCCCCAAUGACCUGCAAGCGAUUUGCAUUGUGGAGCUUCAAAAUGCUAGAAUGGAGCUUCUCAGCGCCAGCACGACCAAUGUAGUUGUACUUGUCGUCCAUGUUUCCAUGUUUGCAUUAAGAGUUGGUAGAAGCAGCCCCAAGUAAACAGCUCCUCCAUCCCACAGGAAUGAGCAAUCCUUGCCAGCGUACAAUUCCUGCAGCGCCUUGUAUCGCUGUUUAAUAAUCACGCCCCUGUCCUCCCGCUUUCUUCUCAUCCUUCCUGUCGAGAAGCGGGUCACUGGCACACGAGAGGAAAGAAAGACGGAAGCACGUACCAGCAGGUGGCCACUAGCAAAGCAUUGACUUGCUGAAUGCGAGUUGGGAGUGCCGAUUCGAGAGCCUUCUCGAGCCGCCCGACACCCUGAGCUCGGCGAUAAGCGUUGGCAUCCACGAACCCCGCCGCCGAAAGAUUUUGGAAGUCGUCCGCUGUGAACAGCUCGAAAUCGACGCCACUCACCAGUGAGCGCACCACGCCCUCCGCCGCCAUAAGCAACCAACCGGGUUUAACACAAGAAUAUCCAGGUAUAUUGUGCCACUUUAGGGUAUGACGAUGUUUAACUGAUGUCUGCCACUUUUAGACUUUAGACGAUGUAUCUUUGAGCUUUGAGCUAUGGAGUUUUUUGCUUGCUUUUAGUGCGUUUGAGGGGAACCAAAGGUGCUGAGCUAUGUGGAUUAAAUUUUUCUUUUAAUUGUCUUCAAAAAAAAUCCCCCACAAGCGCCAAGAACACUCACGAACGCGGUCCUCAUUUGCUGUACAUGGCGAUGAGCGCAUUGUCAAUGUGGCCGUCUCUUCGAUUGAGCACCACAUCUCGCAAACAUGGUGAUGGCCGCGUUAGAUACCUUGAAAGAUUCGCAACCAGAUUCUUUGACCAACCUAUAGGCUUGGACUCCCUGCGCCAAGUGCCACACGCAUCCAGCGCGCAUACCCACGUCACCUCCGUGGCACCAAUGCCUUCCUGCCACAUGGCACGGAGCAGAGUGAGGACCUCGUUCUGCGAGUAUGCCGCCAGCAUGGCGUUCCACGUCACCACAUUCUUCGCAGGUCAAACAUCUCUUUGGUCUCUUGCAAAUGCCCAUUACGGGUAUAUGCCGCGAGCAUGAUGUUCCACGAGAAGGAAUUCCUCUCGUAGAUAGCCUCAAACGCUGCAUGGGCGUCCUCCACGCAUCCACACUCCCCAUACAUCUGGACGAGAAGAUUCCCUAGAUACCUGUCGCCGCCAUAGCCAGAGGUGUGGAGCUGGGCGUGGAUCUCCCUGCCACGUUCGAUCUCCCGCCGCCGCCCACAUCCCCUCAGCUCGCUCGCAAACCAGUCCUGGACUGCCGCCAGUUCUAUUACAGGAAGCUUGAUGCUGAGCCACAGCUAACUAGAAUGUGUAGAUUUGGAUUCCAUGAUUCCAAGUCCUGAGGAAUUGCAAUGGAAUUGUCGAUCGAUGCGUGUACGGAUCAGGCGGUGGGGAGGCUCUUGCACGGAGUUUAUCCUCGAAAGCCACGGCAAUGCUCAACGCACUGGUGACUAUGUACAGCAAGUGUGGCGACCUCGUACGGGCGGAGGGCGAUCACGUGUCUAUGGUAGAUCCUAUCCUGUGGAAUACGAUGAUUGGAGCAUAUGCCCAGUUUGGGCAUAUGGCCGGUGCUUUGGAAGCUCUUGAGGGAAAUUGGAGCUUCUCUGACCACUGUGACUUUCACGAGCUCUCUAGUGGGUUGUAGCUGGAGAGGAUUCUUCGAAGAAUCGAGGGAAUUGUUUCUCGCAAUGUAAGACUGUGGAUUGGAUCCCAAUGGCGAGCACUUUGAUCUCUUGUGUCGCGCGGGGAAGCUUCAGGAGGCUCGGGAUUUUAUCGUUAGAACUCCGUGCGUGGUCGGCUCUUGUGACUGCUUGUAGCGUUCAUGGGGGCCUUAUGUCUGUCUCUCCAUUCCUCAGCGGGAAUACAAGAUGAUGUUGCAGAGCAAGAAAGAAUAGAUCUUUUGCCUAAAACAAAGUAAAGCUUGAAGAGCUAUCAAAUUGCCAUUUUAAUGGUACCAAGUCCAAAGACUUCACUGUAUACACAACUAGAUCUAGCUCGUAAGAAAUAGAGAGAACGUUUUCGUGGCAAAUUUGCUCAUCCAGAUGCACGGUAAAUGCAAGGAUUUUUCCGAAUGAUGCCGGCAACUGUAAUGGUUUUUGCAAGCUGCGAUGGGCAAUGACAGUGAGGCAUGUGCCUUACAGGAGAGCUUAUUGCAGGGAUAUGCGGAGAAUUGUCUUCUAGACAAAAGAAAAAAACUACUUUGUGUGUUCAACUUUAGGGUUUUAAGGAAUAUUUUCAUUUGUGAGGUCUAAAUCUAUAAUUCCAAUGUUAUAUAUUAUUAUAAGUUUAGUAGGACUUUAACAACUGUUGGAUUUGAUUUUCUAGACCACUCACUUAUAAAUGGCUAAUAUGAAUAUGCACAUUGGUUGAGAGAAGUGCAUGGAUAUAUAGUUUUUGUUUAGAUUUAACUUUUGUAUUGUUUAAAUAGUUUUUAUUUUUAUAAUUUUUUCUAUUUCUUUUUCUUUUGUUUCUCCUCUUCUUUUCAUCCAUAGUUGAGUAAUAUAUUCCUUUGUAACAACUUCCUCCCUUGUCUAUGGAGCAGUAAUUCAUAUAACUUAUCAAUAUUAUAAGAAUGUAAUUGAACAAUCAAACUCAUUGUCCUAAGAAUGAUAAAUAACAAUUAUAGUGAAGAGAUCAAAUUUAUGAUAUAUGUAAACUUUAGAGUUCCCAUGAAAGAAAUCCAACUAAACCUAAGCAAAAGGAAAGAAAAAUAUAUUAUGUCUAAUGUUUAUGCAAGUUUUCCAAUCAUUUGCAAAGAAUAGCAUUGUACUGGUAUAAUAAUUUGAGUACAGUAACUCAUGUGGAUUAAAGCUUUCUUUUAAAUGUCUUCAAACAAAUAUUUGAACAUAUUAACAACUAUAACAAUGCCUUUGAGAAAUUACAUCAUCUUUAUCAAAUGCCAUCUAAAUUGCAGAUUAGUAAGAAAGAAACCCUCCCUAAUAGAGUUGUUAAAUGUUGAGAAGAGUGUGAAACACAAAUCCCUAAAUCUCAUAAAUGAAUGAAAGUGUGUUAAUGGCCAAAGCAAAAGUCUAACAAAUGUAACAUAUUUAGAUCAAAAGUUCUAAUUUGAACAAUCAAGAGUAAGUAGUAUAAAAGGAUUGUCUUCUAAACUUUAGGGGUCCAUAUAAGAUUGUAAACGGAGUACUUUAGGGGAACUAAUGUAAUUAAGAAAGGCUAUAUCAGGUGGUGGGUGAUGACAUACAAAAAGAGUGAAUAUGACAUUAUGAACUUUUAAGUUGCAAAACUAAUAAGUCUAAUGCUUAGUGAUUUAGUGGAGUUAAGGGAUAGUUUCAAAAAUUUAUAUUUGUGUUGUUGCAAAACUAAUAAGUCUAAUGCUUAGUGAUUUAGUGGAGUUAAGGGAUAGUUUCAAAAAUUUAUAUUUGUGUUGAGUUUAGCCAAGGGCUAAAACAAUCUUAAGAUUCAAAUAUGAAAAUAAUGAGUACCUCAUUAGUGGUUGAGAGUGCCAUGUGUAAAACAUGAAAAAAUAUUUAGAAAGGAAAAUAAUUUUUGAGGAAAGUUCUGUUUUAGCCAUUAUUAGAUAUUCUAGUCUUGGCAAAAGGCAUGGAAUAUGUUAUAAAGAUAAACUCAUAAAGCUGAUAGUGUGGAGAUAUUAAAUAUUUCAUUAAAAUAUACAUUGAAUGGGUGAAGAUGGCCAGUUUAUGAAGGAGUUUUGAAGGAAACAAAAUUAACCCAGCCUAAGCUAAAAGGCUUGUGUUUUGAUAUAAUGAGUUCUAGAACAUCAUAGCUUUAACUUUGAGGUAAUUAAGCAUAAUUUUGAUAUAAUUGAUUAAAGUGGUGGAAGUUAACUUCCUUAAACUUUUUGUUGGGAUACGAAACAAGUUUGAGAUAUCCCUUGAGGGAUAAAUUGCUUAUGUAUAAUAUAAUGAGUCAUUGUUGAAUAAGAAAAUGUUCAUUUUUCUAAGAAGUCUAUAUUUAAAUAUAUAAACAUAUAAAACAUUGAAGAAAUAGUUUUUAGUAAGGCCCAUAAAGAAUGAUGGAUAGAAUCUAAAGUUUAAGUUUAAGAAAAGCUAAAGACAAAAGAAACCUUAAUUAUCUAAAGUGGAUAAAGCUAAAAUGAUAUUGCCAUUUUUAAGUAAUGGGGACUGCCCAUAAGUAACAAUGUUAAUCCUAAUAUGUGUAAUUAUAAAUUAAAAAUACUUGCUAAAGCACAAUUAAGUGAAAAAUUUACCUCCUAGCAUGAAGGAGAAUAAGUAAAAUGAAUGUAUAAGGCCGCAAAUUAAGAGAGUGAGGAAUCAAGAAUGAGCUCAAGGGUUUAUUAAUUAUAACUAUGGUGCCAUAAAGAGUUUAAAAUAUGAAAGUUUUAAUGUUAAAUUGGGUGAUGGAUAUAAAAUGUAAGUGACUAAAUUUUCCAUUUUACUUUAGUCCCUUAACCACACUUCAAACCACUUGGAAGAGUCUCACUCAUAAUCUCCAUAAGUCUUCUUCUGGAUUUGGGGCUUGUUCACCUUAAAAAUGACAUCCUUACCAUUCAACUUUUGCAUUUGGUCUAAAUGCUCCACAUGUCUAAUCUCGUGACCGACACCCAAAGGUACCAUUGACAUAUCAGCCCAUUACGCUAAGGCCACGCCCAUUCACCUUUGCCAUACUAAUGCUCUAACACCACCUACAUCAUAGUCCCAUGUCUUAAAGACUAGGCCAUCCGUCCAUGAGUAGUCGUCCUAAAUCCACUCUUUAGCAUCCUUAAGAUGCCUGCAGACAUAGGGAAUAACCUUCCUUAAUAUCCCUUUUAUAGUCCUUAUCAAGUUCCUUUUCUGUCCAUGGCCAUAUUCACCAACACUUCCACUGGGACAAAGCCCACAUGCCUGACUACUAAAUCUUAAUGUCCUGUAGGACUUCCUCAUCACAUAAUUGUAUCCUUGGUUAGUACACCAAAGGACUAUUUCUCUUCCUUUCCAUAGUCUGGGACUUUGGGACAACAUUUCAAAACACCGUGGCCCUACACGAACCUCAUGGGUACUCUCCCCACUUUUUGCUUUUGGGUGCUCUAGCCAUGGGCUAAGAGAGAGGUUUCAUUGAGCCACAGCAAGUAUCUAAGUAGAUAGUGCCACUGUAGCGCAUGUGAUCAUGGGAUGAGAUUUAGAUAUACUGUCACCGUGGAUCCUUGGAACCUUGGGGGAUAAAUAGGGAUAAAAUAGCCACUAAGGGCUUUCUCAUCAAGCAAUUGCCCCUUUUCCAGUUGGCUUAAGGGGAGAGAGAUAAGGUGCGCUACAGUUGGUAUCAGAGCAAAUGGCACGGGUUCGAUUCCCAUUGAUUAGUGGCUACUUAAAAGUAUAAUAUACCCUUGAGUAAGGUAUAUUCCUACCCCUAAAUUUGAAAUCGUACGUAUUGGGCAUCCAUGCGUACGUCCUUCCUCUUGUAUACCCUUGAGUAAGGUAUAUUCCUACCCCUAAAUUUGAAAUCGUACGUAUUGGGCAUCCAUGCGUACGUCCUUCCUCUUGUGUGGAGUAUCCACGGACGAAGGUAUCCACUGUGGGACUGCGGUACAGGUGGAUGACUAGUUGCCUCACAUGGAAUAACUGGUCUACACAAUGGAAGGAUUGGUAGAUUGAGUGCGGAAAUGGAGGUGCUGGUUCCCCUUGGCUCAGUAGGGGUUGCUAGUCAAUAGUCAAUGAGGACAUUGACAUCUCUGAAGGGGGCAGUAGGGGUUGCUAGUCAAUAGUCAAUGAGGACAUUGACAUCUCUGAAGGGGGGGUGAGUGUAGCGUAUGUGAUCAUGGGAUGAGAUUUAGAUAUACUGUCACCGUGGAUCCUUGGAACCUUGGGGGAUAAAUGGGGAUAAAAUAGUCACUAAGGGCUCUCUCAUCAAGCAAUUGCCCCUUUUUCAGUUGGCUUAAGGAUUGGUAGAUUGAGUGCGGAAAUGGAGGUGCUGGUUCCCCUUGGCUCAGUAGGGGUUGCUAGUCAAUAGUCAAUGAGGAUAUUGACAUCUCUGAAGGGGGCAGUAGGGGUUGCUAGUCAAUAGUCAAUGAGGACAUUGACAUCUCUGAAGGGGGGGUGAGUGUAGCGCAUGUGAUCAUGGGAUGAGAUUUAGAUAUACUGUCACCGUGGAUCCUUGGAACCUUGGGGGAUAAAUGGGGAUAAAAUAGUCACUAAGGGCUCUCUCAUCAAGCAAUUGCCCCUUUUCCAGUUGGCUUAAGGGGAGAGAGAUAAGGUGCGUUACAGCCACCCAUGCUUGGACUGGGAACAUCAACCAUUUGAUUUCCCAGGGGAACUAAAGCCAAUUUUUGAACACUUCACCAAAUUACCCCACUUGUCGGUCCAUAUUCAUUCUAGCCUUGGACUUCCCAAUGGUUAUCUCAUCACCCAACACCUGGGUAUAGCUUUCUUGGGCCAAAUUGGCCUUUCCUGACCAAACUAGCUCCACUAGGGUUGAACCCCCACACUCUCCCUACUAUACUUUUGGAACCCUCUACAGCCCCCCUAUUGGGGGAUGAUCACUUUGGGCUUUCACCCAACAGCUUGUAUUAGUAUUCGGACUCAGACUCGGACUUGGACUCGGACUCGGUCUCAGUCUUGGUCUCGAUUCCAUCUCAGACUCCAUCUCGGACUCCAUCUCAGACUCCAUCUCGGGUCCAUCUUGAACUCCAUCUCAGACUCCAUCUCGGGUCCAUCUUGGGUCCAUCUCGGACUCUAUCUUGGGUCCAUCUCAAACUCCAUCUCGGACUUCAUCUCAGGUCCAUCUCGAACUCCAUCUCAAACUUUAUCUCGGGUCUAUCUCGAACUCCAUCUCAAACUCCACCACGUGUUAUAUGUUGGUCCUCUUGUGUCCCUUUUUUAGAGACUCACUUAUUGCUUGUUUCAUGCUUAUUUUUGAGCACUUCGUUGGGAGUUGCACUCCCACUCUUGACUGUCUAAGUCAGAGUUUUUAGUCCAAACAUGUUACUCUCGUUUGGCUUCCGCUUCAGCCACUACCACGUGGCACCCUUUCGGCUCCACUUUUGGGGCUUUGGGAUUUGUGUCUCAUAUAAAGCCUAUGAAAGCUCGUGAAACUAGAAGUAUCCAUACUAAGUUAAAUGGUAGCCAAAACAUUUGUGAAAGGAGAGGCAUUAAUAAACUAACAGAUGGAUUUUAGUAAAUUGAUAUUAGGAUGUCAAGUACAAAUGGUUCAUAAAAUAUGCAAAGUCAAAAUAGUGUGGUAAAAUGUGGUUUUGACGGUUGUUAGAAGGCAAGGUUACCAAAGUUUGGGAAGUAAUUUCUGCACGUUCAAAAGGAUGAUUUUGAAUGGAAGUUGAUAUCAUUUAGAUAAACUAAAAAUCAUGUCUAACUAAAUGCUAAUUCCUUGAUAUCAUCAAAUGGUAAAUAUAAUACAAUUGAGAACUAGUUAUAAUAUGGAAUUUUAGCAGUGUGAGAGUCCAAUAUGAAUAAAUGGAAUAUAAAUCCACUAGUCGAGUCUAUAUACCUAGAAGUGUCAUUAGACAAAAGCUACUUCAAAUAUCACAAGUGGUGACAUGCCAUUUAUUCUACCUUCAAGCUAGGUCUCCUCUUACCUGUAUCUAUGACAACUAAGUUCGUGUGUGACCACAUACCAUGGGACCUGCAUGAUGUGGAGCCAACUUUUCCAUAGUGCCACACAAUUAAGAUUGUGUUUGACUUUCAUGAUGUUGAGUUAGGCCUCCAAAGAAAGCUGAGAUCUCAUGUGUCCACAUUUGCAUUUAAGCCAGCUACACUGGAGAGGAUUGUCAAGACAAACAAGGCACUAUCUCCCUCUAUUGUUGCCACAAUCAGCCUUGCAAAACCAUCCUCUAGACCAUCAAUGUAAAUGGGCACACAUCAUCAGGUCAAAAUUGACUUAUACUGUUUUGUGUUAAUGGGUUCUAUUGGCAGAAGUACUUGCUGGGUUUUUACCUAAAUGGUGUAUUUUUUGCACACUUGCAUGGCUCCUUUAAUGUUGUUCCUCCCACCAAAAGCAACAGUCACAAGUUGGUCAAAAGGAACAAAUUCAGCAGUAACAAGUUGGUCAAAAGGGGCAGAUUCACCCUACUCACACAGGGGGACUUCAGGAGCUAGUAAUGACUUGUGAGAAUUGAAACAAUAAUUCAGGUUUAAUGUGCAGAGGGUUUUUGAAACUCAAACUUUCUGAAUUUUAUACAAACUAGUAACUAGAUAUUCUCUAACAUGAUCAGACAUAUCAUCAAAGCCGAGGUACUGUUUCUUGGUGUUCCAAGCUCUGAAUAAGAAAUGACAUGAAAGCAAGUAGACUGAACUUAUCACAAAAGUGCAAAUACUAGACCUCAAGAUUGAAAGGGCCCAAAGGUGGCAGCUUAAGUUGAUUCUGACCAUAAGUUAGCCAAAGAAGAAGGUAUAAAACGCAUGAUGUUUAGUUUAAAUCGAAAUAUAAUUGUGCAUUUCUAACAUCCAUUUUCAUUGAUUCAAGUAACUGUCUUUUGCAAAAUGUACAUCAUCUUUAUAUAAUGCAAAUUUUCAUUGAAGUGCAGUCCUAAUACCAAGUGCCUUUUUCCAAUGGUGAGGUCUUUAACAAUGAAUUUUGAGAGGAAUCUUCAAAACAUUUCUGAACUAUUCAAUUUUAAAAUGGAAAAUACUUUAAAUUAAUACUUUACCUGAGUUACGUUUGACUGUUUAUUUGAAUAGUGUUAUUAUAAUAUAGAAUUUCUUACAAUGCUGCAAAACUAAGUGGAAAUUUCAAGUUUUGUUCCUAUUACUUAAAAUAUAUUUGGUUUCUGUUAGGAUGUACUUGAAUUCUAGCAUAUUCUAACAAUUAUAAUGUGCCAACAUUUCUAAAGAGGUGUUUAAAACGCUCACAAAUAUAUUCCGAAUUAAGUAAGAAACAGUUUAACCAGCAGCAGCUUCUUUGUCCAGCUCCUUUCCCUUUUUUGUUAACAGGGUCUCUGCCUGGGUUCGAAAGUAAGGUGACAGAACCCGAAAUCUCUUAUUAAGGUCUUUGCAGAAGCAGGUAAGCUUGAUCUUCGGAGCUAGCCGCGGAUGUAGUUUUCCAUCACCCAUCACCAUGUUGAUAGCAGCGACCAGAUCUUCCUUCGAGUCCAGCUUUCCAACGAAUUCCGUCCAGAGCUU